rnacentral:rRNA from 1 species
AGGACAAACGCUGGCGGCGUGCGUAACACAUGCAAGUCGAACGGGGUGAUGGUUGUUGAGUAAUCAAGAAGCAUUGUCCAGUGGCGGACGGGUGAGUAACACGUGGAUAACCUGCCCUGGUGUGGGGGAUACCCUGUAGAAAUACGGGCUAAGACCGCAUAUGGUCGCUUUGGGGGAGCCUGGAGCGAAGAAAGCCGGAAGGCGCAGCAGGAGGGGUCCGCGGCCGAUUAGCUAGUUGGUGAGGUAAGAGCCCACCAAGGCGACGAUCGGUAGCUGGUCUGAGAGGAUGAUCAGCCACACUGGGAUUGAGAACGGCCCAGACUCCUACGGGGGGCAGCAGUGAGGAAUCUUCGUCAAUGGGCGCAAGCCUGAACGAGCAACGCCGCGUGUGGGAAGACGGCCUUCGGGUUGUAAACCACUUUUUUCUGGUAACGAGAACGGACGGUACCAGAAGAAGAAGUCUCGGCUAACUACGCGCCAGCAGCCGCGGU